CGGCUCAGUUGGAGGCUGAAGAUUCAUAAAGAUCGGGCAGGAGAGGGAGGAAGGAGCGUAGUUUUCAAGCUCAGCAUAAUUUGUUCUGGAAGGCGCACAGUUGUGUGAUGCGGAGCCCUGUUGGCCCCAGAAGGUUGCUUCCACCUGCUUUGGGUCGGUCACCUGCCUUCCCCAGGACAUGAGCCAUGGUUGAGAGGAAGUGGAGCCGCAGGUGCACUGGCAGCCUUUCUGGCACCACAGGGAAUCUGCUGAGAGGCCUCACGGUGGAGCUUCCAGGGAAAUCAGGCAUCUGGAGUCCUCCCACGACAUCCAGCCUGCUCCUCACCUUCCAAGAGUCAGUAACGUCCCUGGGAUGCGGGCUUCCGCCGUUCCUGUUGUGAGUCGCAGUUGUUAAAGCAGCACAGCUGGCUCAGCUGCUCCCCGAGAUGCACGUGCCCUGCACCCUGGAAGAGGAAAGAUUGCGGUCACGCAUGCAGCCUGGGGCCCUUGUGCCCAGAAUGCUCAGGCACACGGCGUCACUGACGGGGAGGGCCCAGCGAGGCUGGGGACCAUCACGUGACCUCCCCGGGUCGCUCUGCCAACCCCACUGUGCUGACCCAGGCCUCUGACCGGAGGGCAGGCAAUCCUCGCACCCGGCACUGGGGCUGCACUGGGCACCCAGCUCCUCCCGAGGACGAACGUCCAGGCCGGCAGGAGAAGGCCAGGCCCACCGAGCCCCUGCCGCAGAGGUGGCAGUGAGCGCCAGGGUGGCCACACCCUCCGGCGGUGUCGCGGUCACUCCGCAGCGCCCAGCCCCCAUCCUCGGGCCUCUGCCCGCCCGCCGAGGGGUGAACAGGAGCCGGGCCUCGGGUCUGAUGCACCCGCAGGAAGGCAAGCCUCAGCCGGCUCCCGGUGCCACCCUGGAGUCGCCGCGAUUCUCGGCGUCCCUCGGUGCCAGCACUACCGCUGCAGGGACGCUUCCACACCACGGGAAAGUCACAGCACCGACUCAGAGGGCAGCUCGUGGAGUUAAACCACCACGGAGCCGGGCGCAGUGGGGCAUGCCUGUCAUCCUAACACUCUGG
ensembl:lncRNA